CCUACGGGAGGCAGCAGUAGGGAAUCUUUCACAAUGGGCGAAAGCCUGAUGGAGCAACGCCGCGUGCAGGAUGAAGGCCUUCGGGUUGUAAACUGCUGUUAUAAGCGAGAAAUAUGAUGGUAACUUAUGAAUAAGGAUCGGCUAACUACGUGCCAGCAGCCGCUGUCAUACGUAGGAUCCGAGCAUUAUCCGGAGUGACUGGGUGUAAAGAGUUGCGUAGGUGGCAUAAUAAGUAGCUAGUGAAAUCUGGUGGCUCAACCAUUCAGACUAUUAGCUAAACUGUUAAGCUCGAGACCGUUAGGGGUAACUGGAAUUUCUAGUGUAGGAGUGAAAUGCGUAGAUAUUAGAAGGAACACCAAUAGCGUAGGCAGGUUACUGGGACGGUUCUGACACUAAGGCACGAAAGCGUAGGGAGCAAACGGGAUUAGAUACCCUGGUAGUC
rnacentral:rRNA from 1 species